AGCAGUGGGGAAUAUUGGACAAUGGGCGAAAGCCUGAUCCAGCCAUGCCGCGUGUGUGAAGAAGGUCUUCGGAUUGUAAAGCACUUUAAGUUGGGAGGAAGGGCAUUAACCUAAUACGUUAGUGUUUUGACGUUACCGACAGAAUAAGCACCGGCUAACUCUGUGCCAGCAGCCGCGGUAAUACAGAGGGUGCAAGCGUUAAUCGGAAUUACUGGGCGUAAAGCGCGCGUAGGUGGUUUGUUAAGUUGGAUGUGAAAUCUCCGGGCUCAACCUGGGAACUGCAUUCAAAACUGACUGACUAGAGUAUGGUAGAGGGUGGUGGAAUUUCCUGUGUAGCGGUGAAAUGCGUAGAUAUAGGAAGGAACACCAGUGGCGAAGGCGACCACCUGGACUAAUACUGACACUGAGG
rnacentral:rRNA from 1 species